CGGUAAUACGUAGGGUGCAAGCGUUGUCCGGAAUUACUGGGCGUAAAGAGUUCGUAGGCGGUUUGUCGCGUCGUUUGUGAAAACCAGCAGCUCAACUGCUGGCUUGCAGGCGAUACGGGCAGACUUGAGUACUGCAGGGGAGACUGGAAUUCCUGGUGUAGCGGUGAAAUGCGCAGAUAUCAGGAGGAACACCGGUGGCGAAGGCGGGUCUCUGGGCAGUAACUGACGCUGAGGAACGAAAGCGUGGGUAGCGAACAGGAUUA
rnacentral:rRNA from 1 species